rnacentral:rRNA from 1 species
AACGGGUGACCGCGUGCCUUUUGCAUAAUGAGCCAUCGAGUCUGUUAGUGCGAGCAAGGUUAAGGGAGUUAUACCCGCAGCCGUAGCGAAAGCGAGUCUGAACAAGGCGAUUUAGUUCGUAUUACUGAACCCGAAACCGGGUGAGCUAACCAUGAGCAGGUUGAAGUCCGCUUAAUCGCGGAUGGAGGACCGAACCAUUACAUGUUGCAAGAUGUUUGGAUGACUUGUGGUUAGAGGUGAAAUGCUAAUCGAACCCGGAGAUAGCUGGUUCUUUCCGAAAUGCCUUUAGGGGCAGCCUCGGUUUAUCUGAUUUGGGGGGUAGAGCACUGUUUAGGCUCGGGCGGGCAACCGUACCAACCCUUGACAAACUCCGAAUACCCAAUUUAGUACCCGGGAGUGAGACUGCGGCAGCUAAGUGCCGUAGUCGCGAGGGAGACAGCCCAGACCGCCGUCUAAGGU